rnacentral:tRNA from 1 species
GGCAUGUUGCCAGAGUGGUUAAUGGGUGAGACUUGAAUUCCUUUACGAAUUAAGCCAUCUCAUGACUUCGGUCGCGUAGGUUCAAAUCCUGCACAUGUCG